UACGUAGGCAGCAAGCGUUGUUCGGAAUUACUGGGCGUAAAGAGUGUGUAGGCGGUGCUCUAAGUUCGGUGUGAAAUCUCCCGGCUCAACUGGGAGGGUGCGCCGGGAAACUGGGGGUGCUGGAGCGCGGGGAGAGGAAAGCGGAAUUCCUGGUGUAGCGGUGAAAUGCGUAGAUAUCAGGAGGAACACCGGCGGUGGUAGACGGCUUUCUGGACCGUAGCUGACGCUGAGACACGAAAGCGUGGGUAGCAAACAGG
rnacentral:rRNA from 1 species